CCCUUAGAUGUCCGGGGCUGCACGCGCGCUACACUGAAUGAAUCAGCGUGCUAGAAAACCUUGUUUGACAUGGCUAGGUAACCCAUUGAAAAUCAUUCGUGAUUGGGAUCGGGACUUGCAAAUGUGUCCCUUGAACGAGGAAUUCCCAGUAAGUGCGGGUCAUCAGCUCGCGUUGAUUACGUCCCUGCCCUUUGUACACACCGCCCGUCGCACCUACCGAUUGAAUGGUCCGGUGAAGCCUCCGGAUUGGCGCGCACCUCGGUGCCGCCGAGAAGUUGGCUAAACCUUACCAUUUAGAGGAAGGUGAAGUCGUAACA
rnacentral:rRNA from 1 species